GCUGGGAUUCAAGGACACUGAGGGCCAUUUGCUCUGGCCCUUGCCUGCACGGAGAUAUGUCAUGUCAUGUCUAUUCAGCUAAGCUUUUCCCCCAGCAUAUCCUGCCUAUGUCUGUAUGUUCAGAAAUCUUAAAGCAUCUUGCAGACUUGACAAGACUCGUACUAGUCAGAGUUCUCAAGAGAUACAGAACAAGAACCUCAGUAGAUGGGUGAGAGGUUAAAGAAAUUAGCAUAAACAAAUCCUUCAUAAUCCAUGGAAUUCUGAGGUCUAGUGAGCCUGGAAUCCACAGGUCAUGGGUUCGUCUGCACUCUAGCAUCAGAGGCUGUCCUCUGGGAAGCCCAGGGGCAGUGAGUGAGGCAUAGAAAAUGUAUGACUUAAGGUCAACUGAUUGCAGAUGUUUGUUCCAGCUAUAAAAUAACUGCAUCAAAAUUUUGGUUAGACUGCUUAGGAAGUAAAGGUUCCUACCAUUAUGUCAGAUGACCCAAGUUCAAUCCCAAGGCUGCCUAUGAGGGAAAGGACAGAGCAAAUUGUCUUCUGAUGAUAUCCUUAAGCCCCUUGCCUCAACACAGGGAAAAAAAAUUAUCAAAUGACUGUACUUUGAGUGAAACAAGUUAACAUACAGCUUGGCUAUUAUAUCUACUAAGGUAAGUUUUUCUUACAUAGCCAUUUUUAAUCAAAAAAGGUUUUCCCAGGAACAUAUGCCAUAUGAACACUUGAGAUUUGACCAAAUUCUGAAACACCAGAGGUAUAUGAUUAAUAGGUAGGUCUCCCAGAGUUACAUCCUUCACUUCAGUGCUUUGCCCCUCCACAUGUAAGUAACUGAUUCAAGGGACAGAGCACUGCUAAAAUAAAGGAGGUAAGGGCAAAUUUUGUCUUUUCCAAGUUCUUCAAUUUGACUUUCCUGAGUCUUUUUUAUAUCUGCUCUUGUUGUUAGCAGGAGAAUAUUUUUCUAUUCCCUUUAGUUAUAAAUAAUAGGAAUAUCACCAGUAUAGAAGUCAAGUUGUUAAUCAUCGAUUGUCAUCCCAGACAAGUCAACUUUGUUCUCAGUUUUGUUCUUCUGCCAAGUCAAAUGAAGUGUGGUGUGUUACCAAGAGUGCCUAGGAGUGGUGGAACAAUGAGAUGGUACCAGACCCAUGCACUCUUUCCUCAGUGGAGCAUCUGACAGUGAUUCUGCAAACAGGACAUAACUGUCAAAAGUGUCUACCACUUACUAGUCAAUCCAAGACCUUGGGCCAUUAUCUGAUCUUGCUGAGUUUAGUUUUCUUACCAGAUCAGUGGGAAUUCCACCUUAAUUUAACUUAUAAGAUGGUCUCAGGAUGGAAUGGUUUAGGACUUCGAGUAGUACCUCAUAUGUUACAUUGUAUUAACUCAUCGGACAGUAGCUGGAACUGACAAUGAUACCAGGAACAGCAUUUGUAUUAGUUUCAUUUCUUUUGCCAUAGAGAAAUAACAUGACCGAAAGGCACUUAUGGAAGAAAGAAUUUGUUUCGGCGAAUGGCUUAAAGCGGGUAGGAGUCAGUCACGGUGGGGAUGCGUGGCAGCAGGAGUGGGAAGCGGAGAUGUAGCAUCUUUAACCAUAAACACAAAGCAGACAGAGAGUGAACUAGAGCUGAGACAAGGCCAUAGACUCUCCAAAGCUCCCAGUCAUGGACUUCCCCUGACAAGGCUCUGCCUCCUUAAGGUUCCUCCACUUCCUCAAGCAGCAUUAUUAGAUCAGCUCUGGACCAAGGCUUCAAUGUGAGCCUGUAGGGUACAUUUUGCCUCUCCUUGAGUGGUAAAAUUCUAUCCCUUUAGAAACACAAAGCCUGAUUUUGUAUGACAAGAAAAAUGAUCUCAGAUCAGCCCCUGAACUUACAAAAUCAUGAAUGUUAAAAUCAAAUCCUUAAAAUGUAUUUAAUUAAAAUUCAUAAUUUUUUAGUUCUGUAAUGUGAUGGUGUUUAUGAUAGUCAAAACUCAGGUCAAGUAAGAGGGAAGAUCGUAUAUUGUGAUCUAAGAAGGCUUGUAUCCUCUAUAAAACUAAACCACAUCACUCAUAAGUGCAUUUGUAGUUAAGAAAAUACCCUUGCUAACUCCCACUGAAGAGUCAUUUGGGACACAGCAUAUUGUGCACACCUCUCUUGGUCACAGUUCUUCUCACCUGGUCCCUGUCUAUAUGCUCCUGUAUUCAAAGCUGUACUUGCAACACAUAUGCAGACUUUACUGUGCUUGUACCUAAUAGUUUCAACCCCUUAUCAAGUGCCAAAUCAUCUUCAUAGGUGUUUUUCAAAUCAUAUAGGUGGUUUUGUUGGUUUAUGUUUCAAGAACAAAUAUUCAGAAUCAGAACUCACAGUAUCUGGGGCGUGAACAAUGACUGGAAUUACUUUUCUGUGAGGAUACCUUACUUGUUACAGCGACAUUCCUGCUAUUAUUGUGUGUCUUAUGUAUGUAGUUUGAGGGAAAUACUCAAUGGGUUUUGUUACAGAGAAAUGGGGUCAAGAUGGAGUGUAUGUUCAUAAUUUUCUUUUCUCAGGAUGGAGAGCAUCCUGAUAGAUGAACCUAUUUUCUGGGAACUUUAUUCAGUCCUAAAAUCAAAUAGGACAUGUCUACCUCUCUGUUGGCCUGCUCCAUCCAUUCUUCUCAUUCAAUAGACCCUCUCAUUCCCUGCCAAGAAGUUUCCAAGCACUUAAACUGUUGUGAAGUUCUUAGAAGAUAAUAUAGGUCAUGCAGAGAGGUGAGAGGCUGAGUUCCCCAGCCUGACACCGAGCAUGAAGCACAGACAUCAAACACAAUUCUUAUCUGCCACCCUCAAGCCAAUCUGUGCCCUUGAGGAUUGCUAGCCCAAGAUAUUUUGAGCUGGUUGACACUCAGAGGGAUAAAACUGAGAUGAACACUGAGGAAAAAGACUUCAGAGAAAGGAAAAAUGAGUUAGGCUAUUCAAAAGACAGUCUCAGUGCAUGAGCUCUGAAAAAAAUGAGAGAACGUGUGCAAGCAAUGGGGGCGAGGUGUGUGUGAAAAGUGAGGAACAGAAGUGUGAGAAUGUCAACACCUGUUGGAAAUAUGAGACUCUCCUAACAUUCGGAAAGCUUCUGUGGCUGAUUCCUGCAUGCCAUGGUCAUAAAGAUCUCCAAAUCUGCUGGCACUGAAAUCAUUACAAUCAUUCAAUCUCUAAUAGAAACAUGGCUGCUUAGUUGCUCUUUCAAAUAAGCUCAGGCUUAGGAAUUAAAGUGACCUUGCUGCUAGGAAUGACUAGAAACCAUAGCCAGAAACCAGAAAACAAAGGAAGGAAGCAUUUCUUCUUCAUUUUCUUAAUAACAGCCAAGGUUUGGUUUAUUAUAAUUUUAAAGUAAAAUGUAUAUCCUUUGGCACUAGGAAUUUAAUAAUUUUUCUGCUAGUCUUUCAUAUCAGAUUAUAUCUAUUUGGGAUCCAUAGAUCUUCUUAUGGAAUAAUCUUCAAUUCUUUUUAACAUUCAAUCUCCUAAGACUCUUUGGCUGUCUUUUCUCAGAAGGACAUAGGAAGAGAAUCAUGGCUUGCCCUCUGGGAAAUGUCAGCCACCACUUUUUUGUAGAUACCCUUGCAGCGGUGCCGUUCAAGGGAUAGAAUAUGAGCAUCCCACCCCAGAUGGCUGUUCAGGAUGUAAGGGAGAAGGCUGAUGGCAGAUAGGCAUGAGAGUGACAGUGGUUAAAGUUUCAGGCAUCAUAGGAGCCAAUAUAUCUUGUAACAACUCUUCAUAUUCAAUGGACAGCCCUAGCUAGAAAGUCCCUACACUGGAGCGAUUACAAUAAUGG
rnacentral:lncRNA from 1 species